rnacentral:rRNA from 1 species
UACGUAGGGUGCAAGCGUUAAUCGGAAUUACUGGGUGUAAAGGGUGCGUAGGCGGUUACGUAAGCCAUAUGUGAAAGGCUGGGGCUCAACCCCGGGAUUGCAUAAGGAACUGUGUAACUAGAGUACAGGAGAGGUAAGCGGAAUUCCUAGUGUAGCGGUGAAAUGCGUAGAUAUUAGGAAGAACACCAGUGGCGAAGGCGGCUUACUGGACUGAAACUGACGCUGAGGCACGAAAGCGUGGGGAGCGAACAGG